AUUGAACGCUGGCGGCAGGCCUAACACAUGCAAGUCGAGCGGAUGAAGGGAGCUUGCUCCUGGAUUCAGCGGCGGACGGGUGAGUAAUGCCUAGGAAUCUGCCUGGUAGUGGGGGAUAACGUCCGGAAACGGGCGCUAAUACCGCAUACGUCCUGAGGGAGAAAGUGGGGGAUCUUCGGACCUCACGCUAUCAGAUGAGCCUAGGUCGGAUUAGCUAGUUGGUGGGGUAAAGGCCUACCAAGGCGACGAUCCGUAACUGGUCUGAGAGGAUGAUCAGUCACACUGGAACUGAGACACGGUCCAGACUCCUACGGGAGGCAGCAGUGGGGAAUAUUGGACAAUGGGCGAAAGCCUGAUGCAGCCAUGCCGCGUGUGUGAAGAAGGUCUUCGGAUUGUAAAGCACUUUAAGUUGGGAGGAAGGGCAGUAAGUUAAUACCUUGCUGUUUUGACGUUACCAACAGAAGAAGCACCGGCUAACUUCGUG
rnacentral:rRNA from 1 species